CGCCGCCCGCUCCGCGUCUCCACCAUUCCCUCGCCGCCACCGCCGGCGUCCAAUCCGCCCUCCCAUGAAGUAGCCCUUCCCCUUCCGCCUCCAAACCUACCUACCGGAGCUCGACUCCGCUACCCCAUCCGUCGAAGAUGCUCCCGGUGCUGCUCUUUGCAAAGGCGAACCGGCGGGCGGCGACGAUGGAGCGGACGCUAGAGGGAUCGGUGGAGGGGAUAGCGAAAGUACCCGAUCGAGGUGCUUGUGGAGAUCUAUGGCGGGAAUCGGGAAGCUGGGUUACGCAGUUGGGCGGCGAUGCAGAG
rnacentral:lncRNA from 1 species